rnacentral:rRNA from 1 species
CGAGUCUUAACUGGGCGAAUGAGUUGCAGGGUAUAGACCCGAAACCCGGUGAUCUAUCCAUGGGCAGGUUGAAGGUUGGGUAACACUAACUGGAGGACCGAACCGACUAAUGUUGAAAAAUUAGCGGAUGACUUGUGGAUGGGGGUGAAAGGCCAAUCAAACCGGGAGAUAGCUGGUUCUCCCCGAAAGCUAUUUAGGUAGCGCCUCGUGAACUCAUCUUCGGGGGUAGAGCACUGUUUCGACUAGGGGGUCAUCCCGACUUACCAACUCGAUGCAAACUGCGAAUACCGAAGAAUGUUAUCACGGGAGACACACGGCGGGUGCUAACGUCCGUCGUGAAGAGGGAAACAACCCAGACCGCCAGCUAAGGUCCCAAAGUCAUGGUUAAGUGGGAAACGAAGUGGGAAGGCUCAGACAGCCAGGAUGUUGGCUUAGAAGCAGCCAUCAUUUAAAGAAAGCGUAAUAGCUCACUGGUCGAGUCGGCCCGCGCGGAAGAUGUAACGGGGCUAAACCAUGCACCGAAGCUGCGGCAGCGACACAAAGUGUUGUUGGGUAGGGGAGCGUUCUGUAAGCCUGCGAAGGUGUACUGUGAGGUAUGCUGGAGGUAUCAGAAGUGCGAAUGCUGACAUAAGUAACGAUAAUGCGGGUGAAAAACCCGCACGCCGGAAGACCAAGGGUUCCUGUCCAACGUUAAUCGGGGCAGGGUGAGUCGACCCCUAAGGCGAGGCUGAAAAGCGUAGUCGAUGGGAAACGGGUUAAUAUUCCCGUACUGGUGGUAACUGCGAUGGGGGAACGGAGAAGGCUAGGUUGUCCGGGCGACGGUCGUCCCGGUUCAAGCAGGUAGGCAGAGUGAUUAGGCAAAUCCGGUCACUUAAUGCUGAGAUGUGAUGACGAACCACCAAGGUGGUGAAGCAAUUGAUGCCCCGCUUCCAGGAAAAGCCUCUAAGCUUCAGGUUACCAACAAUCGUACCCCAAACCGACACAGGUGGUCAGGUAGAGAAUACUCAGGCGCUUGAGAGAACUCGGGUGAAGGAACUAGGCAAAAUGGUGCCGUAACUUCGGGAGAAGGCACGCUGGCGGUAGGUAAAGUCCCUUGCGGACGGCGCUGAAGCCAGUCGAAGAUACCAGCUGGCUGCAACUGUUUAUUAAAAACACAGCACUGUGCAAACACGAAAGUGGACGUAUACGGUGUGACGCCUGCCCGGUGCUGGAAGGUUAAUUGAUGGGGUCAGCCGUAAGGCGAAGCUCCUGAUCGAAGCCCCAGUAAACGGCGGCCGUAACUAUAACGGUCCUAAGGUAGCGAAAUUCCUUGUCGGGUAAGUUCCGACCUGCACGAAUGGCGUAAUGAUGGCCAGGCUGUCUCCACCCGAGACUCAGUGAAAUUGAACUCGCUGUGAAGAUGCAGUGUACCCGCGGCAAGACGGAAAGACCCCGUGAACCUUUACUAUAGCUUGACACUGAACAUUGAGCCUUGAUGUGUAGGAUAGGUGGGAGGCUUUGAAGUGUGGACGCCAGUCUGCAUGGAGCCAACCUUGAAAUACCACCCUUUAACGUUUGAUGUUCUAACCUAGGCCCAUAAACUGGGUCGGGGACCGUGUCUGGUGGGUAGUUUGACUGGGGCGGUCUCCUCCUAAAGAGUAACGGAGGAGCACGAAGGUUGGCUAAGCAUGGUCGGACAUCAUGCGGUUAGUGCAAAGGCAUAAGCCAGCUUGACUGCGAGAGUGACGGCUCGAGCAGGUACGAAAGUAGGUCUUAGUGAUCCGGUGGUUCUGAAUGGAAGGGCCAUCGCUCAACGGAUAAAAGGUACUCCGGGGAUAACAGGCUGAUACCGCCCAAGAGUUCAUAUCGACGGCGGUGUUUGGCACCUCGAUGUCGGCUCAUCACAUCCUGGGGCUGAAGUAGGUCCCAAGGGUAUGGCUGUUCGCCAUUUAAAGUGGUACGCGAGCUGGGUUUAGAACGUCGUGAGACAGUUCGGUCCCUAUCUGCCGUGGGCGUUGGAAGAUUGAGAGGGGUUGCUCCUAGUACGAGAGGACCGGAGUGAACGCACCACUGGUGUUCGGGUUGUCAUGCCAAUGGCAUUGCCCGGUAGCUAAGUGCGGAAGAGAUAACCGCUGAAAGCAUCUAAGCGGGAAACUUGCCUCGAGAUGAGUCUUCCCUGUCGCUUUAAGCGACCUAAAGGAACGUUUAAGACUAAGACGUUGAUAGGCUGGGUGUGUAAGCGUAGCGAUACGUUGAGCUAACCAGUACUAAUGAACCGUGAG